GGAAUAUCUUUUAAAAGCUUCUAACUUUUUUUCAAGCGGUUGAAUUCCGUUUAUAUUCCU
rnacentral:tRNA from 1 species